rnacentral:rRNA from 1 species
AAUCCAUAGGUUAAUGAGGCGAACCGGGGGAACUGAAACAUCUAAGUACCCCGAGGAAAAGAAAUCAACCGAGAUUCCCCCAGUAGCGGCGAGCGAACGGGGAGGAGCCCAGAGCCUGAAUCAGCAUGUGUGUUAGUGGAAGCGUCUGGAAAGGCGCGCGAUACAGGGUGACAGCCCCGUACACAAAAGCGCAUGUGCUGUGAGCUCGAUGAGUAGGGCGGGACACGUGGUAUCCUGUCUGAAUAUGGGGGGACCAUCCUCCAAGGCUAAAUACUCCUGACUGACCGAUAGUGAACCAGUACCGUGAGGGAAAGGCGAAAAGAACCCCGGCGAGGGGAGUGAAA